rnacentral:lncRNA from 1 species
UUUACUUUUUAGACUAUUUAAUUGUGACUUUAUUUUAAAUUAAGAAUGUGGGCAUAUUUUCCUGUCAUACCACCGUUAUCUUCUUUGUGGAGGUAAUAGUUCCCUUUCUUUAUUAGAUGCUGCUUUUGUUUCAAUGAAUAAACUGACUAACUGAGACACACUUGCCUUCUCAGCUUUAUCUUCUUGAAAAGAUACAGGAAUAAAGAUAGUAGUACAAGCAUUAGUAUGAUCCAUAUUGGCCGCUUUACUCUCUGGAUCUCCUGCUUUCCUCUGUGUAGCCAAAAAUUUCAUAGGAGAGAAAAU